rnacentral:rRNA from 1 species
UACAGCGAAACUGCGAAUGGCUCAUUAUAUAAGUUAUCGUUUAUUUGAUAGCACCUUACUACUUGGAUAACCGUGGUAAUUCUAGAGCUAAUACAUGCUAAAAGUCCCGACUUCGGAAGGGAUGUAUUUAUUAGAUACAAAACCAAUGCCCUUCGGGGCUCAAUGGUGAUUCAUGAUAACUUCUCGAAUCGCACGGCCUUGCGCCGGCGAUGGUUCAUUCAAAUUUCUUCCCUAUCAACUUUCGAUGUUUGGGUAUUGGCCAAACAUGGUGGCAACGGGUAACGGAGGGUUAGGGCUCGACCCCGGAGAAGGAGCCUGAGAAACGGCUACUACAUCCAAGGAAGGCAGCAGGCGCGCAAAUUACCCAAUCCCGACUCGGGGAGGUAGUGACAAUAAAUACUGAUACAGGGCUCUAUUGGGUCUUGUAAUUGGAAUGAGUACAAUUUAAAUCCCUUAACGAGGAACAAUUGGAGGGCAAGUCUGGUGCCAGCAGCCGCGGUAAUUCCAGCUCCAAUAGCGUAUAUUAAAGUUGUUGUGGUUAAAAAGCUCGUAGUUGAACCUUGGGCCUGGCUGGCCGGUCCGCCUCACCGCGUGCACUGGUCCGGCCGGGCCUUUCCUUCUGUGGAACCCCAUGCCCUUCACUGGGUGUGGCGGGGAAACAGGACUUUUACUUUGAAAAAAUUAGAGUGCUCCAGGCAGGCCUAUGCUCGAAUACAUUAGCAUGGAAUAAUAAAAUAGGACGUGUGGUUCUAUUUUGUUGGUUUCUAGGACCGCCGUAAUGAUUAAUAGGGACAGUCGGGGGCAUCAGUAUUCAGUUGUCAGAGGUGAAAUUCUUAGAUCUACUGAAGACUAACUACUGCGAAAGCAUUUGCCAAGGAUGUUUUCAUUAAUCAGGAACGAAAGUUAGGGGAUCGAAGACGAUCAGAUACCGUCGUAGUCUUAACCAUAAACUAUGCCGACUAGGGAUCGGACGAUGUUAUUUUUUGACUCGUCCGGCACCUUACGAGAAAUCAAAGUGCU